GUGUUCGCUUCGGCAGCACAUAUACUAAAAUUGGAACAACAGAAGAUUAGCAUGGCCCCUGCACAAGGAAAAAUACAGUAAUAUACAAGACCUAACGCUCAAU